rnacentral:rRNA from 1 species
AGUCGACGAUGAAUCUUCUAGCUUGCUAGAAGUGGAUUAGUGGCGCACGGGUGAGUAAUGCAUAGGUUAUGUGCCCUUUAGUCUGGGAUAGCCACUGGAAACGGUGAUUAAUACUGGAUACUCCCUACGGGGGAAAGUUUUUCGCUAAAGGAUCAGCCUAUGUCCUAUCAGCUAGUUGGUGAGGUAAUGGCUCACCAAGGCUAUGACGGGUAUCCGGCCUGAGAGGGUGAUCGGACACACUGGAACUGAGACACGGUCCAGACUCCUACGGGAGGCAGCAGUAGGGAAUAUUGCUCAAUGGGGGAAACCCUGAAGCAGCAACGCCGCGUGGAGGAUGAAGGUUUUAGGAUUGUAAACUCCUUUUGUUAGAGAAGAUUAUGACGGUAUCUAACGAAUAAGCACCGGCUAACUCCGUGCCAGCAGCCGCGGUAAUGCGGAGGGUGCAAGCGUUACUCGGAAUCACUGGGCGUAAAGAGUGCGUAGGCGGGGUAAUAAGUCAGAUGUGAAAUCCUGUAGCUUAACUACAGAACUGCAUUUGAAACUGUUACUCUGGAGUGUGGGAGAGGUAGGUGGAAUUCUUGGUGUAGGGGUAAAAUCCGUAGAGAUCAAGAGGAAUACUCAUUGCGAAGGCGACCUGCUGGAACAUUACUGACGCUGAUGCACGAAAGCGUGGGGAGCAAACAGGAUUAGAUACCCUGGUAGUCCACGCCCUAAACGAUGGAUGCUAGUUGUUGCCUUGCUUGUCAGGGCAGUAAUGCAGCUAACGCAUUAAGCAUCCCGCCUGGGGAGUACGGUCGCAAGAUUAAAACUCAAAGGAAUAGACGGGGACCCGCACAAGCGGUGGAGCAUGUGGUUUAAUUCGAAGAUACGCGAAGAACCUUACCUAGGCUUGACAUUGAUAGAAUCUACU